rnacentral:rRNA from 1 species
AGCUUGCUAGAUUGAUGGCGAGUGGCGAACGGGUGAGUAAUACAUCGGAACGUGCCCUGUAGUGGGGGAUAACUAGUCGAAAGAUUAGCUAAUACCGCAUACGACCUGAGGGUGAAAGUGGGGGACCGCAAGGCCUCAUGCUAUAGGAGCGGCCGAUGUCUGAUUAGCUAGUUGGUGGGGUAAAGGCCCACCAAGGCGACGAUCAGUAGCUGGUCUGAGAGGACGAUCAGCCACACUGGGACUGAGACACGGCCCAGACUCCUACGGGAGGCAGCAGUGGGGAAUUUUGGACAAUGGGCGAAAGCCUGAUCCAGCAAUGCCGCGUGUGUGAAGAAGGCCUUCGGGUUGUAAAGCACUUUUGUCCGGAAAGAAAUGGCUCUGGUUAAUACCUGGGGUCGAUGACGGUACCGGAAGAAUAAGGACCGGCUAACUACGUGCCAGCAGCCGCGGUAAUACGUAGGGUCCAAGCGUUAAUCGGAAUUACUGGGCGUAAAGCGUGCGCAGGCGGUUGUGCAAGACCGAUGUGAAAUCCCCGAGCUUAACUUGGGAAUUGCAUUGGUGACUGCACGGCCAGAGUGUGUCAGAGGGGGGUAGAAUUCCACGUGUAGCAGUGAAAUGCGUAGAGAUGUGGAGGAAUACCGAUGGCGAAGGCAGCCCCCUGGGAUAACACUGACGCUCAUGCACGAAAGCGUGGGGAGCAAACAGGAUUAGAUACCCUGGUAGUCCACGCCCUAAACGAUGUCAACUAGUUGUUGGGGAUUCAUUUCCUUAGUAACGUAGCUAACGCGUGAAGUUGACCGCCUGGGGAGUACGGUCGCAAGAUUAAAACUCAAAGGAAUUGACGGGGACCCGCACAAGCGGUGGAUGAUGUGGAUUAAUUCGAUGCAACGCGAAAAACCU